CCCACCCCACUCACGCCUAAUAACGCUUUGGGGUAAUGUGAAGGGAAGGGAGUUAUUUUUGGCGCUCCAAGUAAACAAGAAACGUCACAGCAAGGCAGCCUGAGCAGUCCCUCUCGCUGGUGGCGCCGCGCAGCCACUUGGAGGCAGCCAGGCAGUGCUGGUGAACGUGUCCACGGUGAUGAAAGGCUCGGACGGCUAAUAUCAUUCCCAGCCUUCCCACGCCGAUGCUCACUGACAACAAGAGGAUCGAAGAACUCGCACGAACGAACGAUUAAAGUCCAAGGAAGUGAGGAACACCGCACACCACAGCUUCCCGCAGCGGACCACCAGGACAGACAUCAACAGUUCACCCCGAGGCAGGAAGAGCUUGUGUUUGCAAGUCCAAAGAAAACACACCACUGCAGCAGCCACUCGUCCUUGCCUCUUGAAGCCUCACCUCACGCGGGGACGAAAAACAAUCAAAAGGUGAUGAAAGGAUGCUUUAUUCUGGUGGCUAGAUGCACGUGAUGAGCUCUCCCUCUUUCAUCUAUCUAUUUUUUUGUUAUUUUACUUUUGAGUGUGUUGAAAAGUAUAUGAAAGGUUUUCCAUAAAUGUGAUAUCAAUUUUCAAAAAGCUUGGGGAGAAAUGAGUGAAAAUGAGCUACUUUUGUUAAUUCUCUGUGUACUGAAAUCUAUAUGAAUAGCUGUCAGUAAAAGUAAUAUUAAUUUUCAAAAGACUUGGGGAGAAAUAAAAGAGUCAAAAUGA